rnacentral:rRNA from 1 species
CACGUAGGGCGCAAGCGUUGUCCGGAAUUAUUGGGCGUAAAGAGCUCGUAGGCGGCUUGUUGCGUCGACCGUGAAAACCCGUGGCUUAACUGCGGGCUUGCGGUCGAUACGGGCGGGCUGGAGUUCGGUAGGGGAGACUGGAAUUCCUGGUGUAGCGGUGAAAUGCGCAGAUAUCAGGAGGAACACCGGUGGCGAAGGCGGGUCUCUGGGCCGAUACUGACGUGAGGAGCGAAAGCAUGGGGUAGCGAACAGG